AAUAUAUCAGUUAUCUUCGUCGCAUUAAGAAGAACUUGCUGGUUCUGCUCCGAUUGGAAGUCUAGUCAAAGAGCUUGAGGUCAUGAAUCAUCAAGCGGUUUGGACCUCACCUCGCCUCGUCCCUAAGCGCUUGGCUGAGAAGCGUUGUUAAAUUUUCCCAUGCAUUUUACCCAGCGGACACAAAACCUAAGCGAUCCAACUUGAGAGGCGGGGUGGAGGCAUGGCUGCCCUUUCCUUGAACUCCAUAUCCCUUCCUCCUCUCAAGUGCCGGAAACUUUCUUUCUGCUGUUCCUAUGUCAGUGCCAGCCUCAGGCCAAUCGCAGUCACCGGCAAUCCUCCUAGUUUUGUCUCCGCGCCAGUUGGUGAUUUACAUGGGGAUCUUUCAAAAACACGAUGUGCUCUACAAAUGGCAGGAGUCUUGAGCUCUGAUGGCCAAGAUUUAUGGAUAGGAGGGGAAACAGUAGUAGUUCAACUGGGCGAUAUACUUGAUCGUGGAGAUGGUGAAAUUGCAAUCCUGUCCUUGCUGAGAUCACUUGAUGCUCAGGCAAAGUUAACUGGUGGUGCAGUCUUUCAGGUUAAUGGAAAUCAUGAAACAAUGAAUAUAGAGGGUGAUUUCAGAUAUGUUGAUCUAGGAGCAUUUGAUGAGUGUAUAGACUUUGUAGACUACUUGGAUGAAUAUGAAGGCAACUGGGAUGAUGCCUUUAUCGGUUGGAACAGCGCUACUAACCAGUGGAAAGAGAGAAGGAUAUCCGGUAGUCUUUGGACCCCUUGGAAUUUUGUAAAGAAGCAGCAGGGUGUUAUUGCUAGAUCUUCACUUUUGAGGCCGGGUGGUCCUUUGGCAUGUGAGCUUGCGCGCCAUGCUGUGGUUCUUAAAAUUGAUGAUUGGAUCUUUUGUCAUGGAGGCCUUCUUCCUCAUCAUGUUGCAUAUGGAAUUAAGAAGAUGAAUGAAGAAGUAUCAUUUUGGAUGAGAGACACAAGUGAAAGUAGUGAUAAUUUUGCAUUUCCCUUCAUUGCCACCAGAGGUUAUGAUAGUGUUGUCUGGAACCGUUUGUACUCAAGAGAUUCAAAAGAUACAAAGUACCACAGUUUGCAGAUAUCCUCUAUACUGGAAGAGACAUUAGAAGCUUUAGGUGCAAAAGGUAUGGUAGUUGGACAUACUCCACAAUUUGGCGGUGUAAAUAGCAAAUAUAAUGAUAGAAUAUGGUGUAUUGAUGUGGGCAUGUCUAAGGGAGUCCUUGAUUCGAGACCAGAGUUCUGCAGGGCAACUACAUUCUUGGUGAUAGCUUCUCAUUGUAAAAAUACGUCCUCAAUUUUUCCUAGCUGCAUAGGAAGGGUUAAUAUAGCUCCUGUCUGCUGUUGUGCUGAUGGUAGAUUCCACCAUUCAGAAGUAUUGUUUCCUUUGAAAUGCCCUUUGCCUUUAUUUAUUUGUGGUUCUCUGGUAAUACUGACAGGUUCUGGCUUUGGUCUUGUUGGAGGGUAACCAACUGGAUUCAUAGUUGUAUCAAUAGGUGGCCUGUAUUGAGACACAGCCUCCUGAGAAUAUAUUUGUUCCGACAGACGCUACAACUGAGGAUAAUCUGUAAGAAAUUCGUCUUCUUUGCCAACAGGAAGAAUAUUAUCUUCGUACAAGUGUUGUUGCAAUUGUGGAUAAUCUGUCAGAAAUUCGUCUUCUUCUUUGCCAACAACAGGAAUAUUUAUGAAGAAUUGGCCUGCUAUAUGAAGAAUUGGCCUUCUUCUUUGAUGGCAUCCCAACACCUAGCGGGCCUUAUGAUCUCCUUCAACAAUACGAAGAAUUGGCCUGCUAUACGGGAAGGACAAGUAUCUACAACCAGGAAGAACACGACAAAUGCUCUCAUAUGGCCGACAUCGAGUGGAUAGCAAUCAAACACAUCCUUAGCAGCAUUAGAGAGCUUGAGCUUAUCUGCCAGCUCAAGGAAUCAGAUUUCCGCAAAAGGAGCCACUUUCAAGGACGAGAUACCUACUGGCAAAGAGCCUUACCAGCUGUCAAUGAAGCAAGGAUUGAAUUAUUCAAAGCAUUCAUCCACAUGCAACGCAUCGCACAGCUCAUAAGGAAAAAUCCACCAUGAUUGACAUAAAGGAGCAUGGUGAGCCCAGGAAUCCAAAACUUUAUGGAUUGAGCCCCGGGGAGCCGUCCAUGUGUCUAUGUUGAUAAGUUCUCUGAGUCAGCACUACAAUAAUGCUUGUAAAAGGGUCAAUAGAUAAGAUUCGAUUGAAUGAUGAUGGGCCCGAUGCGCACCCAGUUCAUCGAUUCCUUCUCUAUAAAGCCCUAUGUCUAGUCUCACUGCAAGACAUCAAGCGCUUCACGCUACAAGUCUUACUUUGAGAAACUUUGUAAGUCUUUUGUCUAAAUUGUUUUCAGAUCUUAGUCUUGUAUUACUUUCUAGUGUCUUGUACAUUAUCUAAGGUUUGGAAAUAUCUAAAGAAAUUGGCCCCCCAUUUUCUGGUAUCAGAGCUAGUUUGAUGGCUGAGUAAUUUGUUUUAAAGGUAUUUAAGGAAUGCAUGUUUGGUAACCUUUGUGAAAGUAAGGAAUCUCAGUUAUUUGCUAAAACUAACUAAGCGAUCUUCCUUUAAAGGCUUGAAUACUAAACUGUGAUAAAGCGAUCGAGGAACGACGAGUGGAUUGCAAAAGGGUAGGUCCUAACUUGGUAAGGCUUGGAGCCGAGAUACCAAGGGCACACCUACAUGAGCAAGAAAACUCUUAUAACCUCCUAAGCCAUAAGCAGUGAAAACUUCAAAGCUAAUAAGGAAUAAAAAUUUAGUUAGUGUUUAGGGAUAAGAUCCAAUUGAAAAAGAAACUACUUGAUCGCAAACUAAGCCUUGUAGUUUUGCUUAAGGUGGAUAGCCAGAAGCCAAUUUACUCGAGAAAAGAUCUUUAUGUCUAGACGAUGGGAAAUAGCUAUACAAGAAUGGUAUGCAAAGGCACCAACUGCAAACCUUGAGUACCUUGAUUUAGCAGAAACAAAGCCAACCGUUAAAGAACUAGCACACAAUAUAGCUGUUAUAUUUGAUAGAUUGAGUCUCUCUAAUAGAGUGAACCUUAAGAAUUUUAAGCAAAUUCAGGAAGACAUUGAGGUUUUAAAGGAAGAAAAUCAAAAGUUAGUCAAAGAAAUAAAAAAUUUGACUAAAGAAGUAGUACAAAACCAGCCCUUAACUAGGGAACAGUUGAAAAGCUUUAUUCUCCAAAUUGAAGAAAAACAUAAGCUAGAAACCAGCCAGGUAACAGCUUAUUCUGAAUAAUUAAAAAGAAAACUUAGUCAGAUUGAAGCAGUACUACAAAAGGUAGGAGCGUAGGCCUCUUCAUGAGCUACAUCAACACUCAAGCAACAAGCUCAUAUAAAGAAGCUCUCCAGGCAACUGAAGCAAUUGAAGCACCUUCACUUGGUUUCUGUAAACCUGCUGACUACAAAGGCGCUCUUAGCGGAACAAUUGCUACUAUCAAACAAGCAAAUACACAGAUCCAGCUUCUAGUAACUAUACUAGAAAAACUUGAAAGUUUUGAGGACAGAAUCAAGAAGAUUGAAGUAAAAGCUAAUCCUGAGGUAACUUUACCUGACGAAGUUAUUCAAGAAUUAUCUAACAAAAUUAAAGGCUUGACUCUUAAGGAAAAGGCGAAAGAAGGAAGAGGGAAGCUAUUGGUAUUCAAAGACCCCUACGAGUUAUUUCGAGAACAAAAGAAGCAAUGAAUACCAGGGUAACUACAAACCCUCCUGUCACUACUGAAAGAGCAAGUGAAAGAAAUCCCCUUUUCGAAGAUCAAAUUCGGGAUUAUAGGCAUAAUCAACGAAGAAGAUAUAAUGCUGAAAGAACUUUACAGAGAAUCACCCGAAGAAUUACAGGGCAGGGACCUUAUAUUUAUUCUCUUGAACAACAGAUUGAUCCUCAAAUUCAGUUAAGACAAUCUAUGCAAGAAAGGGCUUCCUUAGUACCCGCUGAGGUACUUUAUCAUUCCAGACGAGACGAUGUACACUAUCGGGUGUAUAUGCAUAGAUCAGAAGAAGCCAUUUUGGUGACAACUAAUCAAGUAGAUCGGGCUUUCAUUCAAGAAGAAAGUUUUCAUCAAUUACAAAGAAGCGGGAUGAGAUUUAUUCAUAUGGGGAUUAUACAAGUUAGAAUCCAAAUCCUUCAUCGACAGGAAGAAGGUACUUUACUACUAAUGGUAUUUCGUGACAACAGAUGGCAAGGAGAUCAAGCAAUUUUUGCAACAAUGGAAAUUGAUCUUACACAUGGAAGCCAACUAGUGUAUGUAAUCCCUGACACAAUGCUAACUAUAUCUGAUUUUUAUAGAAAUAUAUAGAUAUCCAUCCUAGCACGAGGCUAUGAAGGAUGGAGAAAUGGAGAAGCAAAUAUUCUCAUCACUCGAGGGCUUGUUGGACGAUUAUCAAAUACUCCAAAUGUGGGGUUCGCUUAUGAAGUUCGAAAUGUUGUUGAUUAUCUUGCUAGCCAUGGGGUUAGAGCAUUACCUGGAAGGAGAUAUGAUACAAGGGAGUUAAUGGGGCAGAAUUCGAUUAUUGUACCAUCAAUGGUUACAGUUCCCCUACAACCCACUGAGGUAACCGCUAAUAAUUUAAUUGAUGGAAGAAUUUCCCUUCAUUUUAAUGGCAGCAAGAACACCCACACCACCAAGAUAUAACUCAAGGGCUAAUGAGGAAAAUGACGAAGAAGAACAGAUGUAUACAGUUGCAGUCUUAACACUAGAUGAAGAAGAGGUGUUUUACAUCAAAAAGAUAAGUAGUACAACAAAAACACCAAGGCGAGCAUCAAAAGGAGCUGCAGGAUAUGAUCUUGCUGUUGACCAAGAUUAUAUCAUUCCCCCACAAGGACAAGAAUUAUUAAGCACUGGAAUCAGUAUCAAAACUCCAGUAGGCACUUAUGCUCGUAUAGCACCUCGGUCCAGUUAUGCUACUAAAGGCAUCAUAAUAGGAGCUGCCGUUAUUGACUCAGAUUACAGAGGUGAAGUAAAGAUUCUGGUUCAUAAUUUCUCUAAUGAUACUUUGUCUCUCAAAACAGGGGAAUGUAUAGCACAAAUAAUUUUAGAAUGCUGCAAAACCCCGAUGAUCAUGCCAGUACGGGAACUGGACAAUACCUCCAGAGGACAUAAAGGUUUUGGGUCAACAAGUUUAUCAAUCAAGGAACAAGAUAAAGAGCAAAGAAUAGCAGAAACAACUCAACGAAGGACAGAACUAUUGCAAGCAAGAGAACAAAAACAAAAGAUGGCUGACAAACGGAGUCCCCAAUCUGCAAGGAAAUACCGAAGGGAUAUUUGGCAAAAACAUUUUACAACUGAAGAUAUUUGGGAUUUACUACAACCACAUAAUUCAAAGUCUAUUGAAGAUCCAGAGUAUAUUGAAUUUCUUGAUCAAAGACAUUUCUUAUGUGUCAACACAUUGGACAUCCAAGAUGACUAUAUCAACUAUUUGCAAUAUCUCAUGUUGCAAGAAACAGACACAGGUAUUUUCAGCUUUUUUUCCGUCUCUUCAGAUGAUUUUAUUAAUCCUUUUGCAGUGGAAGAUGGUGGGAAGUUGCCAAAUAAUAUUGACAACGAAAAUAUUCCUGCUGUUGGCAAAGAAGAAGACGAAUUUCUGACAGAUUAUCCACAAUUGCAACAACACUUGUCCGAAGAUUGGGGACAAAUAUAUUAUGUGUCAACACAUUGGACAUCCAAGAUGACUAUAUCAACUAUUUGCAAUAUCUCAUGUUGCAAGAAACAGACACAGGUAUUUUCAGCUUUUUUUCCGUCUCUUCAGAUGAUUUUAUUAAUCCUUUUGCAGUGGAAGAUGGUGGGAAGUUGCCAAAUAAUAUUGACAACGAAAAUAUUCCUGCUGUUGGCAAAGAAGAAGACGAAUUUCUUACAGAUUAUCCUCAGUUGCAGCGUCUGUCGGAACAAAUAUAUUCUCAGGAGGCUGUGUCUCAAUACAGGCCACCUAUUGAUACAACUAUGAAUCCAGUUGGUUACCCUCCAACAAGACCAAAGCCAGAACCUGCCAGUAUUACCAGAGAACCACAAAUAAAUAGAUAAAAUUAAGUGAAAAAUUUUGCAAAAGCCGAACGGGUACCACAUAGAAAAUCGACUGUGCAACUUGCUUACUUGACAAAGUGCUAGUGGAUGCCAUGUCAUCAUUUUAACAGCAACUAAAUUAAUAUUUGACAUAUGCUAUAUUUUAGUACAAAAAAACAUUUAUUGUGCUGCUAGAUUUGAUAUUUUUGUGCCAGAUUUGAUGUUUUAAAGGUUGCGAUAGAUUUGAGAAGAACCCUAAUGGUUGUGUUAGAUUGAUAUUAUUAACUCACCUAAGAUCAACUAAAGAACAAGACUUUUUAUGUGUUCCAAAUUUUUUACCACCUCUAGGAUCACAUUUUAUCAAGUCAUCAGAGCACAUCAUGGUACAUGGGAUGAUUCACUUUUACAAUUUUAAUUACUUCAGUGUAGGGAAUUCGAAAGAAUGAAUUAGGUACAUAGGUGAGACCAGACUGGAACAUGAAAACCAUAUAUGCACAUAAAUUUUUUAAUAAAAAUAUUUUCUAACUAGGCAUAUUGCCACUGAGAUCCUAUCAUGGCAUUGUCCCUAAAACCCCAGUAGGAGCUAUACUGUGUAUGUGUUGACCCUAGCAUGGCGUUGUCCUAAACUGUGGUGUGUAACAAGUAACAACUAGUAAUUUUAAUUUUCAAAUGGCUGGAAACAAAGCUCUGUUGGAAAACCCUAUUACAAUUUUGCAGCAUUUAUUGUGCUUUUGAUCAUCACAGGGAAUAUCAUUGUUCCUUCGCUAGUAGUUAAUAUUGGAAAACUUGCUUAACAUGAUGUGCUAAGAACUCACAUUUCCUAUCAAACAGGUUCUUGAGAUUGUAGAUAAUGAAGCAAGAAUCAUAAGGAACAAAACUGACUUGUUUGAUGAGCUAGAAGUCACAAACUUUCUCUAGAAUUCUCCUUCUUUCAAAGAUCAUUCCUAACAAAGGAUCAUCUUGCAAAUAUGUAAUUGCUGUGGAUUCAUGCUUGUAAAAACAGAGAACCAAAAAGGUGACACCACCAUCUUCAAAUAUUUUUUCAACAGUUACUAUUGCCAAAAGUGUAUAGUUAUUAUCAUAAUGACUAUAAUAUGUGACCCAAUCACCAGAUACGAUUAUGAUCCUGUUUUUUUUUAGUGAACAAAAAUCACGUCAUUAUGUGAUGAACUUUUGUUUUU